UUUGCUGCAGACCCACUAUACCACACAUAUCUAGAGGAAACCAGGCACAGGCCCAUCACUUGAGCAAUACCAUACCAACAGUGAAACCUCAGACUCUGGACCUCAGUCUGGGCUGAAAGUUCAUCCUCCAAUCAGGACAAAGCAAAGACAACACAGGAGGUGCUUAGAGUUGACUCUGGGAAUGUUCUUGAGUGGCCCAGUCAGAGAUCAAACUUGAAAUCGGUCAAACAUCUCUGGAGAGACCAGAAGAUAGCCGUCCACCGAUGGUCUCUGAUCAUCCUGACGGAGCUAGAAGGGAAGAAUGGCAGUAGAAAUUCCCAAAAUCAGCAGAAAUCAAGAAGACUCCAAAGGUGCUUGGGCAAGGGGUUUGAAUAUGUGGAAUAAGGAGACAUUUUGUUUUCUAUUUUUAACAAGUUAGCAACAAAACAUUUCUAAACUCUGGUUUUCUCUUUGUCGUUCUGGGGUACUGAGUGUUGCUCGAUGAAAGGCUAGAUGUUUGUUUAUAUUUAAAAUGAAAUAUCAAGAGGGUAAACCACAAAGCCUUCUAUUCACAUUCUCAUUUUUUUUUUUCUCAGGACGUGGACUCAAAACCUUGUGGUUGCUGAUGUAGUUGGCCCCCCUGACCCACUUUACGGCCAUGCCUGCCUGCCUGGCCUCUAUGUUAGUAAUUGAUGGAAGCGUCCUACCAUCAGAAAAGACGUCAUGUAACAUAAAGUCUGGAGGACCGUUAACUACAGUGGGUUCAUCAAACAAUGGAGCAUAAAUGUCACUCGACCAGGUAGCCCUCUGAUUGUUUUAGUAAGGCCCAUGGUGGUUAAACACCAUUUGUGGUUUGUGCAGCUGCCCUAAACUGAUGGAAACAUCUGCAGUGCUGCCUUUGUGUUGAAGUCACCUGAGUUUGAGCUCUGGGGGUCUGCAAUUUAGAA